rfam:Heterocephalus glaber contig131184, whole genome shotgun sequence.
GUACUCUUUGGUUACAGUUGUUCAACCAGUUACUAAUCUAACUAAUUGUAACCGGUUGAACAACUGAACCCAAAGGGUGCAAA